UAACUGCGAGUGAAGAGGGAAAAGCUCAAAUUUUGAAUCUGGCGGUCGUGAUGGCCGUCCGAGUUGUAAUCUAGAGAAGCGUCUUCUAGCGCUGAGCCGUGUACAAGUCUCCUGGAAGGGAGCGUCAUAGAGGGUGAGAAUCCCGUCUUUGACACGGAGAAUCAGUGCGAUGUGAUGCGCUCUCGACGAGUCGAGUUGUUUGGGAAUGCAGCUCAAAUAGGGUGGUAAAUUCCAUCUAAAGCUAAAUACUGGCGAGAGACCGAUAGCGAACAAGUACCGUGAGGGAAAGAUGAAAAGAACUUUGGAAAGAGAGUUAAACAGUACGUGAAAUUGCUGAAAGGGAAACGCUCGAGGUCAGUCGCGUCCGCCAGGGAUCAACCUUGCUUCUUCGCUCGGUGCAUUUCUUGGUCGGACGGGUCAGCAUCAGUUUCGAUCGUCGUAGAACGGUCGAGGGAACGUGGCACCUCUCGAGGUGUGUUAUAGCCCUCGAUCUUAUGCGUCGG
rnacentral:rRNA from 1 species